rnacentral:lncRNA from 1 species
GCCGGGGUCCCACCGCCAGGCAGAGCACCGAACAAGCUGCGCUCACCUUGCUUGACACACUUGAGCCGGAGGGGGUCCUUGCAGUGUUUGAUCACGGCCAGAACGUCCCUGAUGGUGAGCCCCGCCACGGGGGUCUCGUUCACCUCCAGCAGCAGCUCCUCGGACACCAACUUGCUGCCGCUUUCAUAGGCCACCUUGCCCGGCUUCACCUCCCCCAGGUAGGGGAACUGUCCGUUUUCCGCGCCCCCCUUCAGUUCAAAGCCCAGCUGGCCCUCCGGGUUCCUGCCAAUGACACUCUCGUGGACUUUGCUAGUCCAGUGGCUUUUCUUUUUCAAGCUUUUGGACAUGGCAGUAGGGUAUGGCCUACUACCUUCCUUUCUGUAUGAUCUGGGCAAACCGACCGGUGGUGGCAAGAGUAGUGUCAAUGAAGUGAUCCACACAGCAAGAGAGGCAGUUUCAGUGCGGGAGUCUAGCUGAUUUCCUGGCUUCUCCAUGCACUUAUCUCAACAUAGUUCCACGAAGUGAUGCACCUGCGCAGUGAACCCUGCCUUCUGCUGCUCGACAGCCACCAGGCUUUGUAACUCAGUUUCACCAAGCUCUGCCAUUGUCAGCGUCAAGAGCUUCGCUGUGGUACGCAUGCGUGGUCCUGAAAGCAACUUUUGCACUUUAUCAUCAACUCUAAGAUACUCAGGGGCUUCUAUCAAUGAUGAGACACAUCUGCAGAAACCCAUACUCCUUCCAUAGGAUCACACGAUCCUUGUCCAAGGGCGAACACACAGAACAUUGUUCAAACCAUACCAAUCCUGACCGGAGAGAACAGAGACAAACUGACUCACAGGAGAGAGGACCUAAGUACUUUAAUACAUUUUUUGAAAUUAUUAUAAAUUAUUUUACAAUAUCCAGA